rnacentral:tRNA from 1 species
GGAAGCGUGGCCGAGCGGUUGAAGGCUCUAGUCUUGAAAACUAGCGACGGGUCAAACUGUCCGUGAGUUCGAAUCUCACCGCUUCCUCCA